rnacentral:rRNA from 1 species
UACAGAGGUGCCAAGCGUUAGGCGGAAUCACUGGGCUUAAAGCGCGCGUAGGCGGAUGUUUAAGUGUCUUGUGAAAUCCCACGGCUCAACCGUGGAACUGCUGGGCAUACUGGACAUCUUGAGGCACUCAGGGGCGAGCGGAACAAGUGGUGGAGCGGUGAAAUGCGCAGAUAUCAGGAGGAACACCGGUGGCGAAGGCGGAUCUCUGGGCCGAUACUGACGCUGAGGAGCGAAAGCGUGGGGAGCGAACAGG